CGCCUGGUAGCGGGGGAGUAACUAUUGAAACGAUAGCUAAUACCGCAUAAUAUUGAUUAUUGCAUGAUAAUUGAUUGAAAGAUGCUAUUGCAUCACUACCAGAUGGACCUGCGUUGUAUUAGCUAGUAGGUGAGGUAACGGCUCACCUAGGCGACGAUACAUAGCCGACCUGAGAGGGUGAUCGGCCACACUGGGACUGAGACACGGCCCAG
rnacentral:rRNA from 1 species